CCGUGAAGCUGGAUUCGCUGUAAUCGCGCAUCAGCCAUGGCGCGGUGAAUACGUUCCCGGGCCUUGUACACACCGCCCGUCAAGCCAUGGGAGCCGGGGGUGCUUGAAGUGCGUCGCCGCAAGGCGCGCCCUAGAGCAAAACCGGUGACUGGGGCUAAGUCGUAACAAGGUACC
rnacentral:rRNA from 1 species